rnacentral:lncRNA from 1 species
CAAGAUGGCGCUAGCGGUUGGAGCAGGGGCUCUGCUGCGACCUUUACGGUAGUGAGGUUAGGGACGAUGGGAGAGCAGCUUUGUUCCUGAAGUGCCGUCGAGGAUUAGGAUCGAGUUUCUUCGAUCGUGAGGGCAAUUAUUAGUGGCCUCUAGCCCCCCAGAUGGCAUCUUGAGGAGAGAGAAUCCACGCUACGAGAACUAACAUAGUGGACAUCGCAGUUGUCCGUAGCCGAUUUGCGGGUUACGGAGUUGUUGCAAGUAAAGAAGGGGAAAUCCGAGCGUUCUCGCGUUGGAUUUCCUCCACGUGUGAAGUGGGAAUGGUAGUGAUAUCUCGUGCUAUCUCUGUCAAGGGCAAGAAGGAGAAGGAAUUUAUUUGAGGCCCUACGACGUGGCCCUCCCUCCGCUGUCUCCCUGACCUUCCUAUGCAUCCAGUUGCUUAAGAACUCUUGGAAAGAUAGUGCGGUGGCUCACGCCUGUAAUCCCAACACUUUGGGAGGCCGAGGCAGGCGGAUCAUCUGAGAUCGAGAGUUCGAGACCAGCUUGACCAACAUGGAGAAACCCCGUCUCUACUAAAAGUACAAAAUUAGCCAGGCAUGGUGGCACAUGCCCGUAAUCCCAGCUACUCGGGAGGCUGAGGCAGGAGAGUAGCUUGAGCCCAGGAGGCGGAGGUUGUGGUGAGCCGAGAUCGCGCCAUUGCACAGCCUGGGCAACGAGCGAAACUCCAUCUCAAAAAAAUAAAUAAAAAUUUUUU